rnacentral:rRNA from 1 species
AAUAUUAAAGGGCUGCAGUAUAUUGACUGUACAAAGGUAGCAUAAUCAUUAGUUUUUUAAUUGGAAACUUGUAUGAAAGAUUUAAUGAAAUAAUAACUGUCUCUAAAUUAUUAAUAGAAUUUUAUUUUUUAGUAAAAAAGCAAAAAUAGAUUUAAAAGACGAGAAGACCCUAUAGAGUUUUAUAUUUAAUUUAUUUUUAAUUAAAUAUAUAAAUUAAUAUAAAAAAUAAAUAAAAUAUUAUAUUGGGGUGAUAGAAAAAUUUAAUUAACUUUUUUUAAAUUAUAACCAUUAAUAAAUGAUUUUUUGAUCCAUAAAUAAUGAUUAAAAGAUAAAAUUACCUUAGGGAUAACAGCGUAAUAUUAUUUUUUAGUUCAAAUAAAAAAUAAAGUUUGCGACCUCGAUGUUGGAUUAAGAUAAAAUUUAAAUGCAAAAGUUUAAAAGUUU